ACGGGAGGCAGCAGUGGGGAAUAUUGCACAAUGGGGGAAACCCUGAUGCAGCGACGCCGCGUGAGUGAAGAAGUAUUUCGGUAUGUAAAGCUCUAUCAGCAGGGAAGAAAAUGACGGUACCUGACUAAGAAGCCCCGGCUAACUACGUGCCAGCAGCCGCGGUAAUACGUAGGGGGCAAGCGUUAUCCGGAUUUACUGGGUGUAAAGGGAGCGUAGACGGCGCGGCAAGUCUGAAGUGAAAGCCCGGGGCUUAACCCCGGGACUGCUUUGGAAACUGCCAUGCUGGAGUGCUGGAGAGGUAAGUGGAAUUCCUAGUGUAGCGGUGAAAUGCGUAGAUAUUAGGAGGAACACCAGUGGCGAAGGCGGCUUACUGGACAGUAACUGACGUUGAGGCUCGAAGGCGUGGGGAGCAAACAGGAUUAGAUACCCUGGUA
rnacentral:rRNA from 1 species